GACUAUUGAAAUCCUUUCCCCACAGGGCAAACUGGCAGAGGAAGUCUGCUGAGGAAAAGUUCUUGGUGGAAGUUCCCACUCCUGAAAACAAAAUGUUUCUCCUUCACCGUCUUCACAGCUGGCCGAGGGAGAGGCAUAGAAAGAGCCCAGGGGAUACAGGAAAAAAAUACUGUGAUGAACUCUCCUCCGUAUUUGGAAUUAUUCUCUUUGGAGAGACUCUAACAUAGAGAAGAGAUUUGAAGACAAGGUGGUCCGAAUUCACAGCCUGGGAGAGGAUGACAUGAGGACCAGCCCCAUAUCCCACCCCCAGUCACUCAGAAGUCCACUGGAAACGCUGAGACUUAGACUCCGGCCCAGAACUUCGGAACCGGAAGCUGCUGUUAACAAGAUGCCCAGGUCAUUUCGGUGCACGUUACAGUUUCUGUGGAUUUGGUACCGUUAGUUCUCAGGGCUGAAUCCGGGGACAAUCCUAAAUUAGACCCCUAGGGCCACAGGGAGAGAGACUGCUGAUGUUCUGAGUGACAGUUGAGUUCCCAGACACAAGGGAGACAUAUUUCUGGGAGUGAGCAAGUGUCCUUUGUAUAAGUGGCUGCCUCCCGCCCAGGGCUGUGGGUGAAUCAGAGCAUGUGAUUUAGUGGAUGAAGGACAUAUAUUUAGAAAGAAAAUGAUUGCCAAAAGAAAGGCGGGUAGGAAGAAAUAAUAUUACUCAUAUCUGUUUUUCAUUAUAAAAUAAUAUUGCUGUUUUGCAUGCUUUCUAGAUUCCUUAGGGUAUUUUCUUGCCACUUGGAGCUUUUUUUUUUUUUUCCUUUUUUCUUUUUACAUAUUUAGAAGCUAUUUAAUAGAAACGUUACUGCAUGGGAACAAAAAUAUUUUUCUCACAGAAUGUUCCCAUUCAAUAAGUUGCCACAUACUUGUGUUCCAUAUGGUGCUUCAUAAACUAACAGUGUCUGUAGGUAAUGCAGUUGGCAUAGCAGCAGAGGGGAGAGUUAUGUUUCAAGCAGCUAUAUCAAUCCAUGUCCAAGGAUUUUUUUUGUUUUGUUUUAGACAAAAGAUAAUUGAUGCUUAAUUAAAACAAAACAUAACAAAAUAUGUACUGUUAAAGAGUAGUUCAAGCUAAAUUUCUAUUACAAAAAAAGCCGAAAAAGUAAAUUCAUUUAUUUAUUUCAUUCAUUCAUCAAGCAUUUACUGAUAUUUUACUAGAGAUACAGAGAUGAAUGAAAACAUUGUCCAUGGCAUGAAGAAAUGUCCCCUCUAGUGGAAGAGGUAGGAAGAAGACCCCACAGAGUGACGAGAGAUUUCAGAGACUAGGUGUGGGUUCCCUGGGACCAUAUGUAGGGGUUCUUAGUAAACCUGAUAGGUGGGGUAGGAUCUGAGGAAGGUCUUCCCAGAAAAUGUGACCCCUAAGUAGAAACCUUUAAAAAGAAAGCCAGAAAGCUACUCCUUCAUCGCCACGUCUCUGCUCUGUAUCAGAGAAGUCCUCAUUGACCAUCUGUAUUAAGAGCAGUUAACAGUCAUCCCAAACCCCAGCCUUUCCUAUCCUUUUACUUGGCUUCAUUUGCUCCACUGCAUUUAUUACCAUCUGUGGUAGCCAGCCUCCAAGACAACCCCCGAAAUCUCUGCAUCUGUGAUAUUCUUGUCAUUGUGUACUUUAUCAGGGUCGGGGCAAUAGAAUAUCACAGAAUCAGUGGGAGAUCACUUCCAAGAUUAGAGUAUUAAAGAUACCAUGGCUUCCAUCUUACUCACUCUCUCUUUCUCUUGGAUCACUCACUCCAGGAAAGCUACCUCCCAAGUUGUAAGCAACUCUGUGGAGAGUUCCACAUGGUGACAAACAUGGUGAGAAGGUAUGGAAGCAGAUCUCCCCAAGUCAGGCAAAUCUUCAGAUGAGACCACGACCCUCCUGACAACUUGACUGCAGCCUCAAGACAGACCAUAAGCCAGAACUGUGCAACUACUCUGCUCCCAGAUUUCUGACUCUUAGAAAUUUGCGGAGGAAGUUAAUCAGGAAAGUUUUCACCAUGUUCUACUAUUUGGAAACAAUCAGUGACUCUCCAGCACCCACAGGGAAAAAUUCAUGUCUGUAACUAUCAGAUAUGCAGAGAAAAACCCUUUCCCUGAAGAUAUUUGCAGUCAAGGAAACAAAUUCAUGACAAAGUGAUGAAGAAACUGAGGCUUGCAGAAGUGAAGUCAUCCAUGCAAUGGUGAUCUCGUGUGAUCCGUAACAAAACACAGAACCAAGACCUGGCCCUAAAGCUGUAAGAACAUCGUCCUGGCAUCUAGCCACAUCUAGCAGGUCCGGUUCCACGGAUCAUCUGAAUGGUCUCCAUGAAAGGUCUGAGGUAAACAGGGCUGGGGAGCUGACCCCCCAACCAUAUGAGAGGAGGAUUCUGAGACAAGAAGUUGUGAGACUUGCCCAAGGCCCUACAGCAAGGAAACCAAACAAUGCUCAAAGGUGCUGCUGUCAGUGUAAAUUCCCACUCGACCCAGCUCUGCAGGGGCAAAAGCUGAUGCUGUCUUCUGACUGCCCAGUAUGUGGUAGGCGUCUUAAAAAGUGUGGAUGAAUGCUUGAUCUGCACAACACCCAGCUAGGAGAAGCAGGUAGUAUUUUCCCCAUGAUUUCACUUAAUAAUCUCAAGAACCCCGGGACAUAGAUUUUAUUUCUCCACAUUUGUAGUUGAUGGCUUGGAGGCUCUGGGUCAGUAGGAAAUUCAUUCGCGGUCAUACGGUGACUAGUUACUGAUCUAAGUCUACUUCUCCCCCUGCCUGAUGCAACGCUCUCUGUGUUUCAUUGCACUGUUUCCUUUCAGGCUCAUUUUAUUGUACAUCUGUAAGGCUUGGAGACACUUGAACAUGUGUCAAAGUUGGGAAAGAGGAGAUUCUUAUUGUUUUGUUUAUUGACCACCAAGUAGCAGCUAACAUGAGGGAAAAUAAUUUUUUACCAUCUACCCUAAGUCCAGCUUGCUGCUCUGCAAACCCAUCUGUCGAGAAUAUUGUUUCCCAAAUUCAAGUUUUGGACUCAAUACUUGUACCAUUUGGGGCAUGUCUGAAUACCAUCCAUGCUAUUUGAUUUUCAUUUUCCAUACCGGCUCACUUUUUUUUUUUUUUUAACUUCAACAAGUGUUUUCAAAUGAAACUAUAUCACUGUCAUAAGUGGAAAUCUAGCAUCCCCUUCCAAUAAUAGAAAAUUGCUAUAAAAAUAAAUACAGUGCAAGCAAAAUGAUAUCCUUUCAUUCUCAGUGGAUGUUGUUGACUGCAGAAGCCUUUUUCUUCCUUCAAAGUGAGAUUAACAAGCUCUGGUUAGUUCUAGGAUGGCCUUGACAUCCAAGCUUUCUUUCUGACAUAAUCAGAAAGUUUGGGAAACAAAGAGAAGAAAACAAUGAAAAGGAAAUGCGUACCACAGUGGGAUUCAGUGCUAUUUAAUGCUCUUAAGGAAUCGCUAGGAUCACUUCCAAAGCCUCCAGGAGUUUCAUUCCCUGGGGAACAACAUUCUAGCACACGCUACGCCAUCAGAUCCUGUUGUUGCACAACAGCAUCUCUUGUCAGCCGAUGGCCUCGAAUGGCACCAAGACAUGUAUGUCUUGAUUCUCCAACCAGUCUGUCUGGUGCACAGGCAAUGAACGUGGACUGGAACGGAAGGCCUGGGGUUCGUAUUCCAGCCUGGACACUUAAUAACCAUGGACCUCAGAGAAGUUACUGUAUCUCUUUUUGCCCGAGCUUUCUCAUCUGUAAAAAGAGGAUACUGACUAUCUCAAAAAGCUGUUGUGAGGAUUAAAUGCAUGGUGGUGCACUUAAAACAGGGCUUGGCACAUGAGAAGGGCCGUGUAAGUAAAUAUUAGCUUUGCUGCUGCUACUGUUCAGAUGUGCUCAGGCCAGACUAGGAUGAGGAGGUCCUGGCCUAUACGAUGCCCAGCAGAGCUCUUCAUCUGUCUGAGGAUACUCAGGAGUCCUCCCUUCUGUGUCUCCAGGCUAAGUCAUCUCCACAUCGUGGUUUCCUUCAAAAGGAAGGUGGUGGGGGAGGAAAGGACUCCAAAGGGCAGGGACAUUUCUCUAGAGGGAGGUGGCACAUGCUUGGCUCCUGCUGUGUACCAGGCACUUUGGCAUGCCCUCUGUAGACUCUUUCCCAUAGACCUAUAGUUGGUGCCAUCCUCCAUGUCUUUCCUGUUCCUGGACUUCCAUGAGAAAUUGGGCAUAUCCCCGUGCAUGUAACUUCUGUGGCUGGUGAAAUGCAGAGGUGAUGUGUGCCAUGGCUGGCAGGAACUUCCAGAGCUAAUGGGUAAGUCGCCACAUGCCCCUUUUCCAAUUUCAGUAACUGUGAAACUAUGGAGUGCCUGAGUAAGUAGAACAUGAGCAAGAGUGCCCAGCCAAUACCCAGUGGAAAGUGUGGCAGAGAGGAAAAUAAACUUGUUGUUUCAGCCACUGAAAUUUUGCUUCAUACUCCAGCAAAGCCUGCCCCUAUCCGGCUAAAACAAACUCCUAGAUGUUGACACAUACUUGAAUUUUUGCAUCUAGCAAGAAUUUGCAGAUCUUGGAUUCCAAGCUAGAGCCUGGGUUGGGUAUAGUAAGGGUGGGCACAUCCUAUUUGUAACUGCUCUCACUUUUUACCUCCUUCUCACUUCCUCUCUCCUGAUCAGUAUCUAGUAAAGAAGGGGAGGAAACUUGCACUCAGGACUCUUCUCCAGCUGGCAUAGUCUUGCAGAAACUUGAGCAACUAUUUCCACUCUGGAUCUGUUUCUUGCUAAAUCUCUGAUUCUUGCAGAAUGUUGGGGGAAGAAGGAAACCCAUAAAACCACUGUCUGGUCUCUGUUGCUGGCUGAAUCCCCUUUACCUCGUCUCCUUAUCUACUUUGCUUGAAUCAUUCUAGGGACAGGAAACUUACCAGCCUCACCAUGAAUGGACACAGAGCUGGGCUAUGAGAAGUGACAGUCCCUAUGCUACUAGACUUAGGGUUUGACUUACCUGAAAGGUGAAUGAUUUUGAAGAUCCUUACUUUGUAGGAUGGCCUUAUAGUUGACCAUCCUAACCAGGACACAUGUAAGAAUGAAAGUUGGUGCUAGUAACAAUCAUAUUGGAACAAUAGGUUUAAAACCAAACUAUCUUGGGCAAACUGGGAGGUACUGCUGCUUGGCUUCUAUGAUCCUGUGACCACCAACAAAUGGUAAAAUUAAAUUCCAUGGGCAGGACUGCAUCCCAGUUUUGGUCACUAACUUUGACUUUUGGUCUAUUCCUUCCCCCAAAUCUGGAUGAUUUCCCAUUCUUUAAACCAACUCUCUUGUAAGCAUGUUGGUCCCAAAGCCAUUUCAGAGGGGAAGGAGUUACAUAGGACUAUAAUUUCAAGCAAAUUUCCCCUAUAGGUGCUUCAUUCCUAACUACUAUCUUGAUCAAAUGCAUAUUUAAUGCCUUUUGAUGGAGACACAGAUGCAAACUGCUCAGCCCUUCCUGGAACUUCAGAGAGCUGCCAGGUCCCAGUACAGUUCUGUGACAGCCAGUGGAAUGCCUGAGGCUACGCUCACUCGGUGCCCUCACAAGACCCUGACUCUCAGGAAACUUACUCACAAGCCCACUGAGCCACCCAGGCACCCCUUCGUUGACCGUUCUUGAAACUGGCUCCUGGUUCCCAUUGCAAGAGUUCCUGCAAAAGGAAAAAGUGAAACACAAGGUAAAGCAUCCAGAGAUUUCAUCUUCUGAAUCAGAAGGAAACUUUCAGAGGAAGGGGAUGUGAAAGAGGGUGAUCAGCUUUUGCUUUUUGGAUCAUUUGCCUUUGACUGGUCUUACAAACCCAAAUAAAGGGCAGAAAAGAAGAUUCUCCAAUAUGCCAGUGGCCAAAGGAAACAUUUCCCACUGACCCACAAAUGUCCAGCCUUACCCUGUGAAGGAGGCUCUGAUACACCCAUUUCAUUGAUGAAGUAACCGAGCCAGAGACUCAGGAUUUUACCCAUGGCUACCCAAGCUGUAAUGAGUUGAGCCAUACGUACUUACCAACCCCAACAACAGGCUGGUAAUUUAACUCAAGACAUUUUUACUGAACAUGUACUAAGUGGCAGGCACCAUGCUGAGCAACAUGGGGAUCCAAAGCACUAAAAUGUGAAUGGGGCCUCCUGGAUUUGCCGAUGCAAUGUUCCUGCCGCCACCGCCGGCCCCCAAUUCCCUCACCCUUGCCAUGUAUGUGGUUAACAGUGGAAACUUCAUGUUUAUUCAGAGACACCAUUCUCUCCCUGCCUGCCUUCAUUAUUAUUGACUAGAUCACAGCUAAUACUUGACCCAAACUCCAAUUUGAAAUGGCUCAAAUUUGCUGGUUGCUUUCUUCAGUGGAAGAGACAGAAACUCGGGCUGAUGAAGGAAGUCGUUUUCUACCAUUUGACCUGGAAAGCAGUGGAACUGAGGUCAGAAGGAAUCCACUCACUGCCUUUCUGUGCCUCAGUUUUACUAACCACACCAUGGGACGGAGUGCCCCAAGCAGGACCUGGGUGUGUAAAGGACACAGCUUGAUACACAGCAUGUGCCUUGUGAAAAUUACUUCUCUUAUUUUGAAGAUUCCUCUUUCACAAGUGACUCCAGUGCCAAAUGGCUUUCCCCUAAUACAGGAAUUAUGCCGAUACCACAGCUCUGUCUCCUCUUUGCUUGAGCUCCAUGCCCUCUCUUUUCUACACUGAUGUUUUAUUUCACUGGUGGCAUCUAACCUUUGAAUUUUACUCAACGGCUUCUAGUAAUCUCAUGCUUUAUAGUUAAAGAGCCAAGCUGACUUCUUUAUUUUCUUCUG